GACACAAGCUUCUCAGCACCUAUUGCUGAUUUAAAUAUAGACACUGAUGCCCAAGGAUUGUCAAAAUGGUUUCUGUCAAUUGGGUUGAUCAUCGGACAUUUGGUCUUUCAAUGCAAGUAUAUGGUUCUGUAUCUCAUCAUGUCAUGAACAUCAUGGGUGUUGCUAUCAUGGAAACGCAGUACACAAAACAUAUUCGCGGACUCUUACACGAUGAUGAGUGCGGCAAGCUCAUCAUCCAUAAUGACUUAGCAGUUAUGCUUCAAGAUACUGAAUCGAUACCUGCUGACAUAGUUGUUAGUCUUUCAAAGAAGAAAAUUGGAUUCAGACUAGACAAUGCGGAUUUGGUGAAAAU